rnacentral:rRNA from 1 species
GAGGGUCCACCCGUUCCCAUUCCGAACACGGAAGUUAAGCUCAUCUGUGCCGACAAUACUUGACUGGAGACGGUCCGGGAAGAUAGGUCAACGCCAACA